AGAGUUUGAUCCUGGCUCAGAACGAACGCUGGCGGCAGGCUUAACACAUGCAAGUCGAACGCCCCGCAAGGGGAGUGGCAGACGGGUGAGUAACGCGUGGGAACAUACCCUUUCCUGCGGAAUAGCUCCGGGAAACUGGAAUUAAUACCGCAUACGCCCUACGGGGGAAAGAUUUAUCGGGGAAGGAUUGGCCCGCGUUGGAUUAGCUAGUUGGUGGGGUAAAGGCCUACCAAGGCGACGAUCCAUAGCUGGUCUGAGAGGAUGAUCAGCCACAUUGGGACUGAGACACGGCCCAAACUCCUACGGGAGGCAGCAGUGGGGAAUAUUGGACAAUGGGCGCAAGCCUGAUCCAGCCAUGCCGCGUGAGUGAUGAAGGCCUUAGGGUUGUAAAGCUCUUUCACCGGAGAAGAUAAUGACGGUAUCCGGAGAAGAAGCCCCGGCUAACUUCGUGCCAGCAGCCGCGGUAAUACGAAGGGGGCUAGCGUUGUUCGGAAUUACUGGGCGUAAAGCGCACGUAGGCGGAUAUUUAAGUCAGGGGUGAAAUCCCAGAGCUCAACUCUGGAACUGCCUUUGAUACUGGGUAUCUUGAGUAUGGAAGAGGUAAGUGGAAUUCCGGGUGUAGAGGUGAAAUUCGUAGAUAUUCGGAGGAACACCAGUGGCGAAGGCGGCUUACUGGUCCAUUACUGACGCUGAGGUGCGA
rnacentral:rRNA from 1 species